AGAACCCGGCAGAGCCGUGGGAGACUCUGAGGGUGGAGCAGAACCCGGCAGAGCCGUGGGAGACUCUGAGGGCGGAGCAGAACCCGGCAGAGCCGUGGGAGACUCUGAGGGCGGAGCAGAGGUCUGCAGAGCCGUGGGAGACUCUGAGGGCGGAGCAGAGGUCUGCAGAGCCGUGGGAGACUCUGAGGGCGGAGCAGAGGUCUGCAGAGCCGUGGGAGACUCUGAGGGCGGAGCAGAGGUCUGCAGAGCCGUGGGAGACUCUGAGGGCGGAGCAGAGGUCUGCAGAGCCGUGGGAGACUCUGAGGGCGGAGCAGAGGUCUGCAGAGCCGUGGGAGACUCUGAGGGCGGAGCAGAGGUCUGCAGAGCCGUGGGAGACUCUGAGGGCGGAGCAGAGGUCUGCAGAGCCGUGGGAGACUCUGAGGGCGGAGCAGAGGUCUGCAGAGCCGUGGGAGACUCUGAGGGCGGAGCAGAGGUCUGCAGAGCCGUGGGAGACUCUGAGGGCGGAGCAGAGGUCUGCAGAGCCGUGGGAGACUCUGAGGGCGGAGCAGAGGUCUGCAGAGCCGUGGAAGACUCUGAGGGCGGAGCAGAGGUCUUGAGCACCAGACGAGACUGGGGAGAAGGGGCCCUCUUCCUUCUCUUACGUCUUCGGCCAACAGGGGACGUGGCCAUGGGGACGGUCGAGGCUACAGGCGCUGGCUCAGGGGGGGUCGAGGCUACAGGCGCUGGCUCGCUGACCGUGGCAGACAUGGGCGCUGGCUCACCGGCCGUGGCGGGCAGGGGCGCUGGCUCGUUGGCCGUGGCGGG